CACAAAAGGAAAAGAUUUACCAGAAUAAUAAGUGAAUCCUCCGCACCGCAACUGUCGACGUUUAUGGCUGAUGUGCUCUCAUAAAGACUCCCAGUGAGGGGAGAAUAAUGGAGUUCAGCCUGCUUAAAACUGUCCUGUUAUGUCUUCGCCAGGCAGUAACAAUCUUGUCUUCCUGGUCCUGUCACCUAUCCCAGUGCCGUGACAGCAGUUGACUUCUUCCCUGCAAAUCUUGACGCUGUCAGCAAA